GAAAGAGAGAAAGAAAGAAAAGGAGGAGAUAAGAAGAAAUCUUUAUCUUCAAAAAAGCUGGCAUUCUAUGGAUCAAGACAACAUGCCUUUAGAGGUUACAAAGCACUUUCCUGAAGAAAACUCUGUGAAGCGGCUCCCUGGCAACAUAUUUCCUGCCUGCAUCAGUUUUUCCCACUUUUUGUGGUUCGAUGACUUUCUUUUGGGAAAAAAAUAAAAAGAAAGAACUUUCCACCUCUGAUUUAGCAGCAGGACAAAUCUUCCCACCCCACACCAUCUUCUAUGGAAACCACAGAAGUAUUAUAAAAGUGAAGGUUGAGGCAGUAUUGGAACUCAUGAUUCAUCAGUAUUUGAAAACUAAAAAAAAAAAAAAAAAAGAUUUUUCUUUUGACUUAUCCUAGGACCUCAGCAGGGUAAGAAGCAAAUUAAACUGACAAUGGAACAAAAUUUGCCUAGAUAUGCUUUUAGAAUGUGGCUUUAAUUGCUGUAUUUGCAUAUUCUGAUUAAAUAAUCCAAACUGUGAAUUAAAUGUAAUAUGGCCCAAAAUGUCUUCUCUCUCACCCCAAAUCUAGGUCCCAUUGUUUGCCUGAAAUAGUGAUGCUAAUAGAAUCAAA